GGAGAGAUGACAGAGUGGUUUAUCGUGCCGGUUUCGAAAAUCGGUGUGUCGCAUUGCGGCACCGGGGGUUCGAAUCCCCCUCUCUCCG
rnacentral:tRNA from 1 species